AGAGUUUGAUCCUGGCUCAGAACGAACGCUGGCGGCAGGCUUAACACAUGCAAGUCGAACGCGUGUAGCAAUACACGAGUGGCGCACGGGUGAGUAACGCGUGGAUAUCUGCCUUUUGGUUCGGAAUAACCCCGGGAAACUGGGGCUAAUACCGGAUGGUUCCUUCGGGAUAAAGAUUUAUCGCCAAAAGAUGAGUCCGCGUACGAUUAGCUAGUUGGUGAGGUAAUGGCUCACCAAGGCGACGAUCGUUAGCUGGUCUGAGAGGACGAUCAGCCACACUGGGACUGAGACACGGCCCAGACUCCUACGGGAGGCAGCAGUGGGGAAUAUUGGACAAUGGGGGCAACCCUGAUCCAGCCAUGCCGCGUGAGUGAUGAAGGCCUUCGGGUUGUAAAGCUCUUUUGGCGGGGACGAUGAUGACGGUACCCGCAGAAUAAGCCCCGGCUAACUUCGUGCCAGCAGCCGCGGUAAGACGAAGGGGGCUAGCGUUGUUCGGAAUUACUGGGCGUAAAGCGCGUGUAGGCGGUUAUCCAAGUCGGGUGUGAAAGCCUUGAGCUCAACUCAAGAAAUGCACUCGGUACUGGGUGACUAGAGGACCGGAGAGGAUAGUGGAAUUCCCAGUGUAGUGGUGAAAUACGUAGAGAUUGGGAAGAACACCAGUGGCGAAGGCGGCUAUCUGGACGGUUUCUGACGCUAAGACGCGAAAGCGUGGGGAGCAAACAGGAUUAGAUACCCCCGUAGUCC
rnacentral:rRNA from 1 species